GUAGCUCAUGGUUGAAAUGGGGGUCUCUGGCGCUUUCUGAACUUGGUCGUUUGCUUGCAGAUGUUUCAUUGCCCAACUAGGAACAUC